GUCAUAUGCUUGUCUCAAAGAUUAAGCCAUGCAUGUCUCAGUACAAGCCAAAUUAAGGUGAAACCGCGAAAGGCUCAUUAAAUCAGUUAUGGUUCCUUAGAUCGUACCAACAAUUACUUGGAUAACUGUGGUAAUUCUAGAGCUAAUACAUGCAAACAGAACUCCGACCGGAGACGGAAGGAGUGCUUUUAUUAGAUCAAAACCAAUCGGUGGCGGGUUCGCUCGUCAUCGUACAACUUGGUGACUCUGAAUAACUUUACGCUGAUCGCACGGUCAUCGCACCGGCGACGCAUCUUUCAAAUGUCUGCCUUAUCAACUGUCGAUGGUAGGUUCUGCGCCUACCAUGGUUGUAACGGGUAACGGGGAAUCAGGGUUCGAUUCCGGAGAGGGAGCCUGAGAAACGGCUACCACAUCCAAGGAAGGCAGCAGGCGCGCAAAUUACCCACUCCCGGCACGGGGAGGUAGUGACGAAAAAUAACGAUACGGGACUCAUCCGAGGCCCCGUAAUCGGAAUGAGUACACUCUAAACCCUUUAACGAGGAUCAAUUGGAGGGCAAGUCUGGUGCCAGCAGCCGCGG
rnacentral:rRNA from 1 species